rnacentral:rRNA from 1 species
CCUACGGGCGGCAGCAGUGAGGAAUAUUGGUCAAUGGCCGAGAGGCUGAACCAGCCAAGUCGCGUGAGGGAAGAAUGUCCUAUGGAUUGUAAACCUCUUUUGUCAGGGAGCAAAGUCACCCACGUGUGGGUGUUGGAGAGUACCUGAAGAAAAAGCAUCGGCUAACUCCGUGCCAGCAGCCGCGGUAAUACGGAGGAUGCGAGCGUUAUCCGGAAUGACUGGGCGUAAAGGGUGCGUAGGUGGUUUAGUAAGUUGGCGGUGAAAUUCCGGGGCUCAACCCCGGCGCUACCGCCAAAACUAUUAGACUAGAGUGCAGGAGGGGUAAGUGGAAUUCCUAGUGUAGCGGUGGAAUGCGUAGAUAUUAGGAGGAACAUCAGGUGCGAAGGCGACUUACUGGACUGUAACUGACGCUGAGGCACGAAAGCGUGGGGAGCGAACAGGAUUAGAUACCCCAGUAGUC